rnacentral:lncRNA from 1 species
UGAGUCAUAUUAGGAAAAGAACUAGGGAAGCGAGACAACCAUGGCAUGUGCUAAGAUUUUGGUGAUCUCUUGGCGUGCACCCAGAGCGGCCUGCACGUGAAAUCUUGGAAAACCAUGUGGUUCGCUGCGUGCGACCACAACCAUCCAGCGUGCAGAUCGAAAUUCCAUGGGCAGUGAAUUAGUGAUCCAAUCAGCAUCCAAGGCAGAUGAGUACGUAUACCUGCGGCGACCAUUCUUUAAAAGCUAGUACUAGUAAAUUGAUUUCAAAUUUGCUGUCCCAUUUGCUGACUACAAACAUGGCAAAAUGCCCCUCCAUUUGCAAGGCAGUAAAAAUGCAUAGCAUAGAAGUUCUAUACAUUUACAGAGGUUUGGAAAAAAAAGAGGCUAAACGAGAUAUGACGUUUUAGCUUUUCUAAAUACAUAACUUUGUAUGUACUUAGAUAUAUGGCAAACACUAUUUAUAUAGAAAAGUCAAAAUGUCUUAUAUAUUAUAAUUUAAAUUUAUGA